rnacentral:rRNA from 1 species
CAUACGGGCGGCAGCAGUGGGGAAUAUUGGACAAUGGGCGAAAGCCUGAUCCAGCCAUGCCGCGUGUGUGAAGAAGGCCUUCGGGUUGUAAAGCACUUUCAGUGGGGAAGAAAGCCUUGGGGCUAAUACCCUCGAGGAAGGACAUCACCCACAGAAGAAGCACCGGCUAACUCCGUGCCAGCAGCCGCGGUAAUACGGAGGGUGCGAGCGUUAAUCGGAAUUACUGGGCGUAAAGCGCGCGUAGGCGGUCUGAUAAGCCGGUUGUGAAAGCCCCGGGCUCAACCUGGGAACGGCAUCCGGAACUGUCAGGCUAGAGUGCAGGAGAGGAAGGUAGAAUUCCCGGUGUAGCGGUGAAAUGCGUAGAGAUCGGGAGGAAUACCAGAGGCGAAGGCGGCCUUCUGGGCUGACACUGACGCUGAGGUGCGAAAGCGUGGGUAGCAAACAGGAUUAGAUACCCGAGUAGUC